rnacentral:rRNA from 1 species
AGAAUCAACGCUGGCGGCGUGCCUAACACAUGCAAGUCGCACGAGAAAGUGGAGCAAUCCAUGAGUAAAGUGGCGCACGGGUGAGUAACACGUGAAUUAUCUACCUCCGAGUGGGAAUAACUGAGAGAAAUCUUAGCUAAUACCGCAUAACACUUACGAGUCAAAGCAGCAAUGCGCUUGGAGAGGAGUUCGCGGCCGAUUAGUUAGUUGGCGGGUAAUGGCCCACCAAGACGAUGAUCGGUA